UACGUAGGGCGCAAGCGUUGUCCGGAAUUAUUGGGCGUAAAGAGCUCGUAGGCGGUUUGUUACGUCCGCUGUGAAAACCCAGGGCUUAACCCUGGGCUUGCAGUGGAUACGGGCAGACUAGAGGUAGGUAGGGGAGAAUGGAAUUCCCGGUGUAGCGGUGAAAUGCGCAGAUAUCGGGAGGAACACCGGUGGCGAAGGCGGUUCUCUGGGCCUUACCCGACGCUGAGGAGCGAAAGCGUGGGGAGCGAACAGG
rnacentral:rRNA from 1 species